AUUCCCCAUCUGAGACCUCUGUCCUUGCCCUGCCAGCGAGAGCCAGUGCGAACAGACUACGUGUCCAUCAAAUCAGGGUGGAAAUUCUGCGCCGGAUUGGUCCCACAGGCGGGGAGCAGUAGUUGUGGUUCGGCCUCUGUAGUGCUGCGGGGGCCGUGAGAAUAUCUCACCAGUGCAGCGCGAGCAACGACAGGUAACGGGCGGAGGAGAGAAGGGAGUGCUGCGGUAGGCUUAGCUUUAAGUAAAGCAAAAGAAGGUCCCGGGCACGACUCCACCGAAGGUAGCAUAGGAGGCAACGGAUCCGUUCUUGAAAAAGGUUGUACCACGGACAGUGCACUACAUUGGCUGUUGGAGUGGACUCUGAAGGGACAUUUGCUUUUUGAGCCUCCUUUUAUACUACCUGUGGUGGUGGCGUGCUCUCUAGCCCAGGACCUUCUUUUGCUUUACUUAAAGCUAACCCUACCGCAGCACCCCUAGACGGUGAGAGACCCUGCUUUUGGACUAAAGUAUACCUGCACUGUUGCCACUUUACACAUUGCCAGGAUGUGGACAAGGCCAUUUUGCUAGUAUUCCAUUUCAUGUUUUACUGACUUCGUUUGAUACUCACAAUCAAGAUGAGGGGAGUGUGGUUCACGUCUUGGAGGUGUGUCCAAAAUUUGGAGUGGGGGGACCGAACAUACUGUCGAUAAUCUUCGUGGCGGGGUAGCCUGCUGUGGUUGGCCCUGGACAUCAGACCUUGCUUUCUUUGCUGCCACAUGUUUUUUUUGGUGGUGUGUUACAGACGUCCUACUUCUGCUGCUCCAGACUUCUUUUGAUGGACCUAGUAUUGAAAGUUACAUUUUGUUAUGGCCAUUCCUUUACAAACAUACCCUAUACUACAAUGGACACUUUACCUGCUUCAGCAGCGUCAUCAUCAUCAGAUGUCAUGGGAGUUAAUGUAGGACGACCAGUACUGCUUUUUUCCAACACCGUAAAACCAAAAUAAAAAAUCAUGUAUUCAU